UUUUUUUUUUUUUUUUUUUUUAUUCCAUACUCAGUUCACUAGUGCAUUGUACUGGCUUAAUUUUGCAACAUAACUCCAGUCAGCCUGCUUCUCACCCCUCUAGCGCUACUGUCCUGGCCAAGUCUCCCACCUGGAUUGCUGCUGUCACCUGUUACUAGGUUGCUCUUCCUGUGACAGCUCUCAACAUAUCAGCACGGGGAUCUUUUUCAAACAUGACAGAUCCCCUCAAAGCCCUCCAAAGCCUUGCCAUCUCAUGCAGGGUGGGAGGCAAAGUCCUGACCUAGCCUACGAGGCCCGAUAGUCUGGCCCCUCAUGGCUUCACUGCCCCUUCACUUCACUCUUCAUUGCCAAGUGCAGGCUGCUUUGGGGCCUUUGCCUGGAGUCCUCAGCCCACACAUAACCCUGUGGCUCACUCUUACUUCAUCCUUGGCUUGGAUCAAAUAUCAUGCCCCAGAGGGGCCUCCUCAGACCAUCCUCUCAAUGACAUCUCACUCUGUUCCUUUUCUCUGCUUAUACUGACAUCAUUUUAUAAAACUAUUAGCUCUUUCUUCCACUAAAAUGUAAGCUCCACAGGGGUGGGGAUUUUGUAUUUUUCUGUAUCUCGAGAGAUGAAAAAGGUACAUAGCACAUAGUAGAGAUGUAAUAAAUAUUAGUGAGUGAAAGCUAUUUAGCUGAAAGUUUUAUUUAUUUUUUAUAUAACUAAUUCAAAUCUCCAGUCUUUUCAUGAAGUCCAUUAUACACAUUUCCAUAGGCUGGGAUGGGAUACUUGAGUAACUCUGAGGGUCACUAAGAGGCUUCAUGAAGUGGCACUGAUUUUGGCAAAUUCACGCUUGAGUCUAGCCUCAGCCAUGUCUUAGGUCAGGUAGGACCCUGAGAUGCUGAUUUGUCUUAAUUAAUCUCCUAGGAGACCAGGAGAGAAGACAGGAUUCCGACUGAACUUACAAUGAGACACUUACAAUGAGACACGUAACUGUUGAGUGGGUGGAUAUUUGCACCCGUUUCACCAGUACUUUCUUUUCCUAGAAGCAGGGUAAGUAGCCAGAUGAUCCCGAGUGCUUGGCGAGUGCAAAACGAGGACAAGGCAGUGGCUUCCACUAGCUUGAUCCACUACCCCCACCAUACCUGUCCUGUGUGUUCGGGUUCUCCUGACAAGGUGCACUCACCUGGUCUUUGGAUGAGCAGUGAGUUUUUAUCUCCAUGACUCCUCUUGACACAUUGUCUCUUCGGAGAUAUUAAUAUAUUCAUUCUUUCAGGUCUUAGGUUAGGAGGCGUUGUCUUUAAGGUGACUUUUCAUUUUUCUGGUUUGAUUCAUAAAGUGUCACUUUACAGUUAAGGUCUCUGAAGGCAAUUUUCCUCCUAAAAUCUGAGCAAUCCAGCUUGUCACUGCUAAGCAUCCUCUUGAUAGAACUAUAAUUUGGAUGAACGUAUUAUAUAUCCCGUAGUUUUACUAUACUUAUAUUUGUAUUAUACUAUAUAUAACAUAGUUUGUUAUAUUAUUUAAAAGACUGAAAAAAAAAUAAAAGACUGGUAUCAUUUACAAUAAAAUACCCAGCUGCAAUCUAAAAAAGAUGUGUAAAGCCUCUACAUUGAAAAUUAUAACACACUGCUGAUAAUGGUAAAAUGAAAGAAAUGGAGGGAUAAACUAUAUUAAUGGCUUGUAAAACUCAAUAUUGUUAAUACUUCAAUUCCUCCCCCAAAUAACGAUCUGUAGAGUCAAUGCAAUCCUAAGCAAAACCCCAGUGUGUUUCUUUUCUCUCUUUUUUUUUUUUUUUGCUGGGAAGUGAUCAUCUGAUUCAGAAAUGUAUAUGGUAAUACAACAGAACUUAGGAUAAUCUCAGGGAACAACAAAAACCUGAGGGACUUCACUGUCCAGAUAGCAAGACUUAUUAUAAAGCUACAGUAGUUAAGAUCAAUGGAAAAAUAAGGAGUCUAGAAACAGAUCUACACAUUAACAAAUCACCUGAUUUACAACAAAGACACCUUUAAAAUUUUUUUUUGACAAUCCAAUUUAGAAAUAGGAACAAGGGACGUCUGGGUGGCUCAGUGGUUGAGCGUCUGCCUUUGGCUCAGGGCAUGAUCCCCAGGUUUUGGGAUCUAGUCCCGCAUCAGGCUUCUCUCAGGGAGCCUGCUUCUCCCUCUGCCUAUGUCUCUGCCUCUCUAUGUCUCUCAUGAAUAAAUAAAUAAAAUCCUUAAAAAAAAAAAAAAA
rnacentral:lncRNA from 1 species